rnacentral:rRNA from 1 species
UACCAGCACCCCGAGUGGUCGGGACGUUUAUUGGGCCUAAAGCAUCCGUAGCCGGUUCUGCAAGUCUUCCGUUAAAUCCACCUGCUUAACAGAUGGGCCGCGGAAGAUACUAUAGAGCUAGGAGGCGGGAGAGGCAAGCGGUACUCGAUGGGUAGGGGUAAAAUCCGUUGAUCCAUUGAAGACCACCAGUGGCGAAGGCGGCUAGCCAGAACGCGCUCGACGGUGAGGGAUGAAAGCUGGGGGAGCAAACCGG